rnacentral:rRNA from 1 species
AGAGUUUGAUCCUGGCUCAGAACGAACGCUGGCGGCGUGCUUAACACAUGCAAGUCGAACGGGAUCCGGAGCUUGCUCCGGUGAGAGUGGCGCACGGGUGAGUAACGCGUGGAUAACCUGCCCUGGUAUCCGGAAUAACAUCUCGAAAGGGGUGCUAAUACCGGAUAAGCUUACGAUUCCCUCGGGUUUUGUGAGAAAAGGUGGCCUCUGUUUACAAGCUACCGUAUCAGGAUGGGUCCGCGUACCAUUAGCUAGUUGGUGGGGUAAUGGCCUACCAAGGCGACGAUGGUUAGCUGGUCUGAGAGGAUGAUCAGCCACACUGGAACUGAGACACGGUCCAGACUCCUACGGGAGGCAGCAGUGGGGAAUUUUGCGCAAUGGGGGAAACCCUGACGCAGCAACGCCGCGUGAGUGAUGAAGGCCUUCGGGUCGUAAAGCUCUGUCAGAGGGGAAGAAAUGGAUUCGGUUAAUACCCGGAUUUCUUGACGGUACCCUCAAAGGAAGCACCGGCUAACUCCGUGCCAGCAGCCGCGGUAAUACGGAGGGUGCAAGCGUUGUUCGGAUUUAUUGGGCGUAAAGCGCGUGUAGGCGGUCUCUUAAGUCUGAUGUGAAAGCCCUGGGCUCAACCCAGGAAGUGCAUUGGAUACUGGGAGACUUGAAUACGGGAGAGGGUAGUGGAAUUCCUAGUGUAGGAGUGAAAUCCGUAGAUAUUAGGAGGAACACCGGUGGCGAAGGCGGCUACCUGGACCGAUAUUGACGCUGAGACGCGAAAGCGUGGGGAGCAAACAGGAUUAGAUACC